GAAGGUUAACCUGUGUGUAGAUCUGCGUGUACUUGUGAGCAAGAAUGUGUGAGCAUGGAAUAGACGUAUGUGCACCUGUAUGAAAUACCAGGACUGAGAAUGAAUGGAGGACAGUGAUGAGAAGUAGAUGAGCAGUGGAAGAGAAAAGAGUAAUAAAGUGAGGGGAUAAUGGGAAAUUAGGCUAGCAAGCAUAAAAAUCACUGUUCAAAUAUCUAUCAAACUAAAACAGACAAGGACAAAAAGAGGGACACUACAUGUAUUGUGUUGACGUCUUCCAUACUAGCUACUGUGUUUAUAUGUUUUUAAAAUUUAUCUGUGAGUU